AGCACAUAAACGGCAAAGAAAAAAAAGAGAGAGCAACACUCGCCGGACGCGCGUCCCGGACCAACGCCGGCCUUUUCUCUGACCCUUUUCUUUUUUGCGCCGAUGCUUUGCUCGCUCCGUCGUGGGCGGUCCAAAAAAAAAAAGAAGACAACGAACAAAGGCCCACACGCGGGCACCACAACCACCGCAGCAUGUCGGCCCCGGCGGCAAGCACGAGACAAUGUCUAGGCUCUAGCGGUACGGCCGCGCUUGGGUUCGACCAGCCUCAGUCUGAGCGUGCGUCCCUUUUUGCGGCGUCCGUCUUUGCCCUUGUCGUUGGUCGUCGCGCGGUCGCCGGUCUUUUUGGCGCUUCGCUUGCCCGAUUCGCGGGUGCCUUUGCGGUCCCCCUUGGCGGCCUCCUCGCUCUGACGCCGCCCUCGACCGCGACGACGACGUCCCGGUCCGACGCCGCGCGCUUCGGCCAGCGCACGUUCCGGACACGCGUGGCCAAGGCCGUGGUCCGAGAGACCGCGCAUGCUCGGACGCGACGUACGCGGCCGCGCGACAAACCAUCCGAGAAAGGGCACGUGGUCAUCGGGCACCACAACGCCCACGCGCUUGGCCACGCGACGCAUGACGAGCGCGUGCGUGAUGCACCACACGACCGGGGUGCCCUCGCGCGGGCUUCCGUCGUCGCGCCGGAAAAAGUGGCGCGCCACCAUGCGCUCGUGCUGGCGUUUGCAACGCCGUCCAAACUCGCCAUUGCGCUCGCGAAUGGGGGGCGGACCCGCGGCGUGCGUGUCGGCCCCGACGCUCGGGCACCGUUGCUCGCGGCGGCUAAAGUAGCGCGAUAGGCCGGGAUCGAUAGUGAUCCGCACGCGAUCGGCGCUGUCGAGCGCGUCCAUCAUGAUGUCGGCCGUCUGCCGCGCGCGCUUAAACGGCGAACAGUAGACUGCAGUCGGGGCGCCGUAGCGCUCGACCAGCGUCCGUGCCAUGCGCGCUGCGCGCGCCUUGCCGUCGCGAUUGAGCGGAUGGUCGUGUUUGGGGUAGCGUGCCUCGCGGUGGGCGUCAUGGUGGUCGUCGCCGUGGCGUAUGUAGAGGAGCAGCGGCGGCGCGCCGUCGCGCUUGGCAGACGGGGCGUUGUUGUUGUUGUUUCUCGACGGCAUCGCCUAUGGGCCGAGGCGCAAAGAGGAACGGUCAGGGCACAAUGCCGGCGCGCGAUGAAAGGGAAAAGCACAGAGGCACGCAGUCGUCGGCACACUUGGAGAAAAAAAAAAGAAGAGAGUCACUCGGGUGACGGUGGAGCACCUUGGCGAUUGCAAGACCAGGGAGAGAGUGGCGGGUCAGUGGGGGAGCGAACAGCAGCGCCCUUUUCCCCUUGACGUCGCUGGCCUUACGGCCGUGUGCCAACGACGCCCGCCUCGCGGCGGCGCAUCUUCAUUGAGCAAGGGCGCGCGCGCAAGAUAGAGAGAGAAAGAGAGAGAGAGAGAGAGAGAGAGAGGACGCGCCGGUCGCGCGAUCGACGCCACGGCAUGCCACCGGGCGGGCACGCACCACAAACACACAAGCGGCACGCCCGCACACAGCCUUUACGGGCCUUUUCCUUUUUUUCGAAAUUCCCGAAAAAAUAUCGCCUUGUUUCUCUCCUG
rnacentral:lncRNA from 1 species